AUGAGGACAGAACCAGUUCAUUGGGCUAGGGCAUUUUUCCCUACAGGAGCUAACUGUGAAUCAGUAGACAAUAAUCUUUGUGAGUCAUUUAACAAUGCCAUUAUAGAAUCAAGGUUCUAUCCAAUAAUUUCACAGCAAGAGAUGAUAAGAAAGAAAAUGCUUGUUAGGGUGCAAGAGCAGAGAGCCAAUUCAGCAAAAUGGAAGGGCAAAAUUUGCUCAAAUAUUUUCAAGAAACUCCAGGUCAGCAUUAGAUUGACACAAUACAUUGAGGUGCUCUGGAAUGGCAAGGAGGGAUUUGAGGUGCAACACAUGAAGGGUAGAAAGAAGAAGUACACAGUAAAUCUUGAAAAAAGGAUUUGUACUUGUGGUUACUUUCAACUGGCAGGCCUCCCUUGUUGUCAUGCUAUUGCAGCUAUAUACAAGAGUGGAAGAAAGGUAGAUGACUACAUAGACAAGUGCUACUGGAUUGAGACUUUCAAUAAAAUUUAUGAGCAUUGUCUCCAGCCUGUUCUAGGAGAAGAGAACUGGCCUGUGUCUCAAAACCCUAGGCCAGUUGCACCUGGAUACAUUGCCAUGCCAGGAGCAAGGAAGAAAAACAAUGAUAGAAGAAGAUAA
rnacentral:rRNA from 1 species